AAUCAGCUUUUUGAGUGUGAUUAUGUGGUUUAUGAGGAGUUUAACCGCCUUCAUGUAUUGCAUAUUUGUGCUCUUGGGUGUACUUGUCUGUGUGGUAGGUUAACAUCAAUUUCGGUCGUCAUAAAAUGAUUGGAGGAAUGUAGCUUUGGUCUCGUAUCGAAGUGUUAUAGACUCUGGUAGAUGUGACGAUUGGGAUUGAGGAUUGCAACGGAUACCCUUCGGGGCUACUCGUCUGAUCUCUGAAGGUUGCUCCGGUACCGAAAGCGUGCUUACGGUCAUCGAAAGUGAUUUUCAAAAGGUUAGAACGGGUUAAAUUCGUUAAGGAUGUUGACGUA
rnacentral:rRNA from 1 species